GUCCAGACUCCUACGGGAGGCAGCAGUGGGGAAUAUUGCACAAUGGGGGAAACCCUGAUGCAGCGACGCCGCGUGAGUGAAGAAGUAUUUCGGUAUGUAAAGCUCUAUCAGCAGGGAAGAAAAUGACGGUACCUGACUAAGAAGCCCCGGCUAACUACGUGCCAGCAGCCGCGGUAAUACGUAGGGGGCAAGCGUUAUCCGGAUUUACUGGGUGUAAAGGGAGCGUAGACGGCAUGGCAAGUCAGAUGUGAAAGCCCGGGGCUCAACCCCGGGACUGCAUUUGAAACUGUCAGGCUGGAGUGCAGGAGAGGUAAGUGGAAUUCCUAGUGUAGCGGUGAAAUGCGUAGAUAUUAGGAGGAACACCAGUGGCGAAGGCGGCUUACUGGACUGUAACUGACGUUGAGGCUCGAAAGCGUGGGGAGCAAACAGGAUUAGAUACCCCAGUAUUA
rnacentral:rRNA from 1 species